rnacentral:lncRNA from 1 species
AUGCUAGCAUUUCCAAGUAGAGAGCUGGGGGCCUUCCAAGCAGAGGAGCAGAGACUGCAAGCAGCUUUUCAGUAUAUAUAUUGUGAUUCAACAUUAUUCAUGACAGCAACAAUAAUCAAAGUAAUAAUACCUGACAUAUGUGAGACUCUAUUGAUCCAGUAG